rnacentral:rRNA from 1 species
GAUGAACGCUGGCGGCGUGCCUAAUACAUGCAAGUCGAGCGAACGGACGAGAAGCUUGCUUCUCUGAUGUUAGCGGCGGACGGGUGAGUAACACGUGGAUAACCUACCUAUAAGACUGGGAUAACUUCGGGAAACCGGAGCUAAUACCGGAUAAUAUUUUGAACCGCAUGGUUCAAAAGUGAAAGACGGUCUUGCCGUCACUUAUAGAUGGAUCCGCGCUGCAUUAGCUAGUUGGUAAGGUAACGGCUUACCAAGGCAACGAUGCAUAGCCGACCUGAGAGGGUGAUCGGCCACACUGGAACUGAGACACGGUCCAGACUCCUACGGGAGGCAGCAGUAGGGAAUCUUCCGCAAUGGGCGAAAGCCUGACGGAGCAACGCCGCGUGAGUGAUGAAGGCCUUCGGAUCGUAAAACUCUGUUAUUAGGGAAGAACAUAUGUGUAAGUAACUGUGCACAUCUUGACGGUACCUAAUCAGAAAGCCACGGCUAACUACGUG